rnacentral:rRNA from 1 species
AUUGAACGCUGGCGGCAGGCCUAACACAUGCAAGUCGAGCGGAUGAAGGGAGCUUGCUCCUGGAUUCAGCGGCGGACGGGUGAGUAAUGCCUAGGAAUCUGCCUGGUAGUGGGGGAUAACGUCCGGAAACGGGCGCUAAUACCGCAUACGUCCUGAGGGAGAAAGUGGGGGAUCUUCGGACCUCACGCUAUCAGAUGAGCCUAGGUCGGAUUAGCUAGUUGGUGGGGUAAAGGCCUACCAAGGCGACGAUCCGUAACUGGUCUGAGAGGAUGAUCAGUCACACUGGAAGUGAGACACGGUCCAGGCUCCUACGGGAGGCAGCAGUGGGGAAUGUUGGACAAUGGGCGAAAGCCUGAUACAGCCAUGCCGCGUGUGUGAAGAAGGUCUUCGGAUUGUAAAGCACUUUAAGUUGGGAGGAAGGGCAGUAAGUUAAUACCUUGCUGGUUUGACGUUACCAACAGAAUAAGCACCGGCUAACUUCGUG